GGGAGCCUGACGGAGAGCCGAUGCUGGGCAAAUCUCUGUUACAGGCGGGAAAGAAGGAAGCAAGCCACUAUCUGUGGGAUAAACGGCAGUCUGGUGAAGAGGCAUGUGGUCGGAUUUUACUUCUCUCCCUUCUGAGGUUUGACUUGGAGCCAAGGAAUCUGCAUUUUAACACGGGAAGUUUAAGAAACAGUGACGUAGGUGAUAAACGCCAUGAGGACAGGACGGAGUCCCCCUUGGCCACCACUGUGACCCCAGCAGGUCCCAGCACAGGGCCGGGCGCUUAGGUGUGGAGACUGAGGCUCAUACAGGUCGUGACUUGCCUGAGGCCCCGAGGCUGCGCCUCGGAAGGAAGCUUCUGGAGGUUAUCAGGAGGAAGCUUCUGAGGUUAUCACUAUCUAGAGUCUUUGAGCAAGUGUGAAUACCUGAAACGUUAUCAGAGAACAGGACAGGUGAGGAGGGAAUCAGGGUUUCAACGCAGCUAGGAGGAGUAGGGAAUCAUGACCGAUUGGCUGGAAACCACCCAAAGGACCACCAAGAGGGAACUGAGGGAAGUGGCGGAGCGGGCAUGGUUAGCGCCUCCCAGGUGUGGCCUCAAGGCGAGUGACUUCCUCUGGCCAUAAGUCCCAGUUUUGCCCAUCUGGAGAAUGGGUGUCAUAGAGAGACC
rnacentral:lncRNA from 1 species